UACGUAGGGUGCAAGCGUUGUCCGGAAUUAUUGGGCGUAAAGAGCUCGUAGGCGGCUUGUCACGUCGACUGUGAAAACCCGGGGCUCAACUCCGGGCCUGCAGUCGAUACGGGCUGGCUUGAGUGCGGUAGGGGAGACUGGAAUUCCUGGUGUAGCGGUGAAAUGCGCAGAUAUCAGGAAGAACACCCGUGGCGAAGGCGGCUCUCUGGGACGGUACUGACGCUGAGGAGCGAAAGCGUGGGGAGCGAACAGG
rnacentral:rRNA from 1 species